rnacentral:rRNA from 1 species
AUUCCGGUUGAUCCUGCCGGAGGCCAUUGCUAUUGGGAUCCGAUUUAGCCAUGCUAGUUGUACGAGUUUAGACUCGUAGCGAAUAGCUCAGUAACACGUGGCCAAACUACCCUUCGGACCACAAUACCCUCGGGAAACUGAGGCUAAUAGUGGAUCACACACUCACACUGGAAUGUCGAGUGUGUCAAACGCUCCGGCGCCGAAGGAUGUGGCUGCGGCCGAUUAGGUAGACGGUGGGGUAACGGCCCACCGUGCCAAUAAUCGGUACGGGUCAUGAGAGUGAGAACCCGGAGACGGAAUCUGAGACAAGAUUCCGGGCCCUACGGGGCGCAGCAGGCGCGAAACCUUUACACUGCACGCCAGUGCGAUAAGGGGAUCCCAAGUGCGUAGGCAUAGAGCCUACGCUUUUGUCCACCCUAGGGAGGUGGACGAAUAAGGGCUGGGCAAGACCGGUGCCAGCCGCCGCGGUAAUACCGGCAGCCCGAGUGAUGGCCGAUCUUAUUGGGCCUAAAGCGUCCGUAGCUU